CAAAGAAGCCAAACAGCAUCUUCUGACAAGAACUGAAUUGACCAGGGAGGAGGUGGGUGGGGAAUGGUACCUUAGUCCGGGAUGUAGUAGAGCCAUGCAGUCUGCAGAGCAUGCUGGCUUGACAAAGAUACAUGGAGCCUGGGAAAGACACCUGGGGCCCCUGCUGCCCAGAGUGACGCCAUGGAGAGAAAGUACAGUGGAACCCCUACUGGCAGUGAGGACAGGGCAGGCCAGAGGGGGUGUGGCAUAGAGACCUAAGAGCUGGCUGUGGGAUGGCUCAUCCAGAUACAGCAGGACAGGGGCAUGUGUCUAAGGCCCUCAUGCCAGGUCCCAUUCAAGCAUUAGGGACAAGACAUAAAUCCAGAAGUCUGAGGUGGAAAUUCAAAAUGGGCAUGGCGCAUGGGCAGUUUUGGCAAGAGGAAACAGGGAGGCGAUGAAGCUCAGAAAUUUCAAAGCCAGGAAGAGCAUCCAGAGUGAACCCCGCCUGCAUGAGUCUGGAUGCCGUUGUUGAUUCCAAGUCAGAAAACACUUUAUUUUCUGUGCGGGUUUAAGACAGUUUUCCUGGUAAAGACAAGAACAUCCCCACAGCUGCUGGUUCUCUGGAGAGUCCCUGGAUUCUAACAGAGGAGCACAAUCUAUAUAACAAAUGUCUGGAAAUGGAGAGGGAGCCUUAAUUCACGCCGUAAGUUUACGUCUUCAGGUGCAGCCAAGUUUCCUCCCUGGUGCUGGAGGAAUUCAAAUAUGUAAUCAGGGAGUCACUGAUUACACUGCGACUGGUAAUUUGUUAAAGAAAAAAUCAUGUACAACAAGAAUCAAAAAGUUAAUGUCAAGUAAAUGUUACAAGUUAGGAAAAGGGGUGAACCCCAGAAACUACAGACUACUAACUUCGGUCAAUGUUUGGUUAAAUUAUAGAAUGAAUUUAAAGCAGAUGUCUUAUGAACACUUUGAAAGGAAUGUGUUGACUCUAGAAGACAUGGAAUCACCAGGAAUAACUCAUGCCAGACUAACCUCAUCUUUUAUGAAAGCAUUUUACUGAGCUGGGAGGUCAGAGGAGUAACACAGAAUGAGCAUUUCUUGGUUUUAGGAAAAUGUUUGGCACAAUCGGUCAAGAUAUCACUGCGGAUAAUAUGGCAAAAUACACAUAGCCAUGAAAGUAUUCUGGGAGAGCCGGGACCUGUUUGAAAACGCCGUGAGAACAAAACAUUUGCUACACAAUGAAAUUUGGUGAGUUCCCAAGGUGACUCUUGCAAAUUCUUACUAGAGUACCUAAGAAUGCCCAAGCAAGAAGAAAACUAAAAUUAGGACUGCCUGGCACAUUAGUGGUAACAUCAAGGGGAAAUUGUACUGAAUUCAAGACCAGUGAAAAUGCCAAUCAGUUAUCGUUAAAUCAUCGCCUAAACAGGUGAGUGCAUGUAAGUAACUGUAGGUGGAAAGACUUGCUCUUUUCUCCUCUGUGUCGUCUCUGCUUUAGAAACAUAGAUUCAAUAAAACAAAGAAACUGGAUCGCAUCCCGCUCUGCAUGGGAAGAAAGACUCCAGUCGCAAAGAGCAACAAAACCUAAGGAUAAUUCUAGUAAGAACUGAAUGGAUCUUAGAAGAAAAUUAUAGAACUCUGCUAAGUGAUACGAAAGUAUGAAUAAGUGGAGAACCCCACUCCUGAGUGAGAAGAGUAAACAUUGCCGGUAUGUUCAUUCUUCUGUAAUUAACGACAAGCUUUUAAUACAAUCAUGAAGAAUUUCUUUUUCGGAUUUGACAGGGCUCUAGGGGGAAGAGACUGAGAAUGGCCUGAAGGGCAUGGCUACAAGGCCUCCAUCCAGGCAGGAGGAGCCAUGGGGUGUCCGCGAAGUCCAGAGUGGCCCAGAGGGAGGAGGAGGAGAGUCAGGAGCGAGGCAGCUGGGAGCUCAGCGGGGCCAGAGUGCGCAAGGCCCGGGAACCUCAGUGGCCGGGUUGGUCUUUAUCCCCAAGAACAAUGAGAAGUUAUUAAAGGUUUUUCAACAGUGAAAUAAAACGAUGAGACUUGAGGUUUAAUUUAAAAGCCCCCCUUCUGCUGAGUGGAGAAUAAAUCAGAGCGGGUCCAGAGAAGAGUAGAGAGUGAUUAGUAGCAAUGGCAAUAAGCAGGUGAUGGGAUGGUAUGAGGCUGGUGCCAACGGCGAGGGAGACAGAAGAGCAAGGCGACGUGGGUUCCCCAUAGCAUCCCGAAAACCAAGGCCGUCAUACCGCUGCUGGAAGACGGGCCAGUUCUUUACACCAAUGUCAGUCUACUCUUACGGGAACAGGGAGAGGAAAUAAUAAUCUUUGGAGUGUGUGUGUGGUGGGGGGCAUCGUGGCCCCACGGUGGCCUGCAGUCUGCCGGCGGCGCUUUGGCUGGUCGGGCGGCCCCAGGGAGCCGCCGUAGUCGCCCGCCUCCUGCGACCUCACGUCUCCGUUGCCGGCAUCGCGCAGCCUCCGCAGCCUCCGAGGGCGACGUGGAAGACGCCCAGGAGCUCCGCGUCCCGUCGGAGGGAGCGCAGGGACCGCGUCGGGAGGCGGCAAAAUGUUCCCUCCGAGACGUGGAACGCGGUGGCCACGUGGAGCUGGGACGUGGAGGGCGACACGUGCGCCGCCGUCUGCAGGGUCCAGGUGAGGGAUGCCUGGCUUAGAUGUUAAGCCGAAAACGGGAGGAUUGUGUUGUGGCGGCGGGGGGGGGGGGGGGGUGGUGGAAUGUAACCAUUCCUUCCACAACUGCUGCAUGUCUCUGGGUGCACCAGAAGAGUUGCCCUGUGUGCCAGCAGGACCGCGUGGUCCAAAGAAUCAGCCACGGGCAGCGGUGGAGGUAUUCUUGGUGCAGUUGUGUGGAGCCCUGUGGGGUCUUGUUAUCGAGUGUCCUGUGAAGGCUAGAACUCUCCAGGGGGGCUAAGUCUUCUAAUAGGACGUGAUGGAUCUGUGGUCCUUGAGACUCAUCAAAGCCAUGGUUUAGCCUUUUUUCAGGUUCCCCCCCCCCCCGGAAAUUCUCUACAAUUAAGAAGAUAAUUUGGAGUUCCCUUCAUGGCUCAGUGGUUAACAAACCCGACUAGGAUCCAUGAGGAUGGGGGUUCGAUCCCUGGCCCCUCUCAGUGGGUUAAGGAUCUGGCAUUGCCCUGAGCUGUGGUAUAGGUCGGAUCCCGAGUUGCUGUGGCUGUGGUGUAGGCCGGCAGCUGUAGCUCUGAUUCGACCUGGGAACUUCUAUAUGCUGCAGGUGCAGCC
rnacentral:lncRNA from 1 species